GCCGGGGGCAUUGGCACGUGCCUGUAGUCCCAGCUACUCGGGAGGCUGAGGCUGGAGGAUCGCUUGAGCCCAGGAGUUCUGGGCUGUAGUGCGCUAUGCCGACCGCGCGUUCGCACUAAGUUCAGCAUCAAUAUGGUGACCUCCCGGGAGCAGGAGACCACCAGGUUGCCUAAGGAGGGGUGAAACAGCCCAGGUCAGAAACGGAGCAGGUUAAAACUCCUGUGCUCAUCAGUGCUGAUCAGCAGUGGGAUUGCACCUAUGAAAAGCCACUGCAUUCCAGCCUGGGCAACAUAGCGACACCCCGUCUCA
rnacentral:SRP_RNA from 1 species